rnacentral:misc_RNA from 1 species
UAAUAAUAAGAAGAAGAAGAAGAAUAAACAUUUUACAAAAAUUAAAAUAGUGAAACAACUCAAGCAUAGACAAAAUUCUCCUUAUUAGCAAACAGAAAAUUCUCAGGUUUCAAGUCUCUAUGCAUGACCCCAUUAGCAUGACACAUCCUUACAACUUCUGCUACAGUUCUGGCAACCCCAGCUGCAGCUCUUUCACUGUAAUGCCCUCUAGCUACAAUUCUAUCAAACAACUCCCCACCUUCACAUAACUCCAUAACAAGAUGAACUGCUUCAUUAUCUUCAUAAGUAGCUCUCAACUUCACAAUAUUUGGGUGAUCCGGAAGGCUUGACAUAAUAGCAACUUCUCUUCUCACAUCUUCGAUAUCAACAGCUGUUCGGAGCUUCUUCUUUGAAAUAGAUUUGCACGCAAGGGCUUCUCGGGUCUCCCGGUCGGUGCAAAGGUACGUCACUCCGAAUUCGCCCCGACCCAGUUCUCGUCCUAAGAUGUAUUUGUCAGAUAUGCGGGUUUUAGGGAUAAAAUCUUUGAGUACUCGGAUCGGUGCGGGUGACCCCGAAUACGGAUUGGGUCUACGUUCUCUGGGCUUCUUUGGUUUAGUUUGAGGAUCGGUUUUUGAAGCUUCUUCUGGUCUUAUGCAAGCGUUACAGUUACCCAUGGCGAAGUGAAAUGGGUUGCGCCGCCGCUAAUAGUGGUUGCCGGAGGUGGUGGAGGAGGUAGAGGACAUGGCACGGCAAAGACUUUUGCAAUUUUCUGUAUUUCGUGAGAGAGAGAAAAGA